AUAUCUCUCNGUACGGGAAGGAUGAGAAGCUUCGAYUAAGGUUCGAUUCGAGCGCAGCGAGAAAGCGUUGCCGCAGGCAACGACCCGAAGGGCGAAGCGCGCAGCGCUGAGUCAUCCUUCCCCCACCACCA
rnacentral:sRNA from 2 species